UCCUCAUUCUCUUACCUGGAUGUCCAGAGUGGCUCCCUAAUCAGACUUGCUUGACCUCAAGCCUCAGCCCCUCUGAACCCAGCCCACACGCUGCCCAGAGUCAUCCGGUCACCACUCAGACAGGGUCAGUCCUCCUCUCUGCUGGGCAAGCUCCAGUGGCACCUGCCACUAAGGUCUGCACGGCCUGGUUAAAGGCACCAGAACGAUCAUAAACUGGCCUCUGCCCACUUCCUGAGCAGCUAUCCACUGCUCCUGCUUCACGGAAUCCCCCAACAACUGUCAUCUACAGCCCUCCAUACAUAUCGUUCUGAGCAUUGCUUAACUGUCUCUUCAUCCUGCUGGGUUGAGCUCGGCCCACGUGCACACCUGCCCUCCCCUUAAACUGUUAAGCACAGAUUCCAAGAGAGCCUGGGAUUCUAAAACACCAUUUGAGGUCAGCGUACAGAAGUCUCCCAGCACCUCACGACUCUGAGAAGCAGAGCCAGGAUUCAAACCCAGGUGCGCCCAGUUCCGGAGAUGGCACGCAGCUGGGCCAGGAGGAGAGUGGACUUGGUGCCCUGGCUGCCGUGGGAGCUCAUCGCCCACAGCAGAGGGGACAGCCAGCAGCCUUGGGCUCCAGUGGUCCAAAGACAAGCCUUCCUUGGUGUGUGCUAUUCUUAAAGUUUAUUUCCAACUUGCUUUUUAUUGUGGGAAAAUACACAUAAAAUUUAC
ensembl:lncRNA